AACGGAGGUCCCGAGCGUUGCGCGGAAUCACUGGGCGUAAAGCGCAGGUAGGCGGUUUUGCAAGUCUGUCGUGAAAGCCCUCAGCUUAAAUGGGGAAGGGCGUCAGAUACUGCAAGGCUAGAGGACGGGAGAGGUCGGCGGAAUUCCCGGUGUAGGGGUGAAAUCCGUAGAUAUCGGGAGGAAUACCGGCGGCGAAGGCGGCUGGCUGGACCGUGCCUGACGCUGAUCUGCGAACGCGUGGGGAGCAAACAGG
rnacentral:rRNA from 1 species